ACCGAGCUGACUCGAAAUGAAACUGAGCCGACUCAAAAUGAAACCAAACCGACUCCAAAGAAAAUCAAGUGGACUCAUGAAACGGGACAAGCAUAAUGACUAAUUUUUCUGUACUUCUCCAACGACUAGUUUUUAUUGCUAAUGACUAUUUUAGCCCUUCCAACGGCCAAAACUCCUUCUCCAGCUACUUCUAAGCCUAUUAAAAGCUAAAAAAUCAUUUG
rnacentral:lncRNA from 1 species